rnacentral:rRNA from 1 species
UACGUAGGGGGCAAGCGUUGUCCGGAUUAUUGGGCGUAAAGAGCGUGUAGGCGGCCAGAUAGGUCCGUUGUGAAAACUCGAGGCUCAACCUCGAGACGCCGAUGGAAACCAUUUGGCUAGAGUCCGGAAGAGGAGAGUGGAAUUCCCGGUGUAGCGGUGAAAUGCGCAGAUAUCAGGAGGAACACCAAUGGCGAAGGCAGCUCGCUGGGACGUGACUGACGCUGAGACGCGAAAGCGUGGGGAGCAAA